GACGAACGCUGGCGGCGUGCCUAAUACAUGCAAGUCGAGCGGGCCUCCGGAGGUGCUUGCACCUCCGGACGGCCAGCGGCGGACGGGUGAGUAACACGUGGGCAACCUGCCUUUGAGGCCGGGAUAACACCGGGAAACCGGUGCUAAUACCGGAUACGUCCUCUUUCGCGCCUGCGAGAGGGGAGAAAGACGGUCUUUAAGGCCGUCGCUCAAAGAGGGGCCCGCGGCGCAUUAGCUGGUUGGUGGGGCAAGGGCCUACCAAGGCGACGAUGCGUGGCUGACGUGAGGGGGGGAGCGGCCACACUGGGACUGAGACACGGCCAAGACUCCUGCGGGAGGCAGCAGUAGGGUAUCAUCCGCAAUGGGCGAAAGCCUGACGGUGCAACGCCGCGGGAGUGAGGAAGGUUUUCGGAUCGUAAGGCUCUGUUGUGAGGGAAGAGCAGCAUCCGGAGGAAAUGCCGGAGGUUUGCCGGUACCUCACCAGAAAGCCCCGGCUAACUACGUGCCAGCCGCCGCCGUAA
rnacentral:rRNA from 1 species